GCCGGGUGCUGUGGCGCAUACCUUUAAUCCCAGCAGCUCAGGAGGCUGAGGCAGGAGGAUCACGAGUUCAGAGCCAGCCUCAGCAACAGCCAGGUGCUAAGCAACUCAGUGAGACCUGUCUCUA
rnacentral:sRNA from 1 species